rnacentral:rRNA from 1 species
CCUACGGGGGACUGCAGUGGGGAAUAUUGCACAAUGGGGGAAACCCUGAUGCAGCGACGCCGCGUGAGUGAAGAAGUAAUUCGUUAUGUAAAGCUCUAUCAGCAGGGAAGAAAAUGACGGUACCUGAGUAAGAAGCCCCGGCUAACUACGUGCCAGCAGCCGCGGUAAUACGUCGGGGGCAAGCGUUAUCCGGAUUUACUGGGUGUAAAGGGGGCGUAGACGGCAGUGCAAGUCUGGAGGGAAAGGCGGGGGCUCAACCCCCGGACUGCUGUGGAAACUGGACGGCUGGAGUGGAGGAGAGGUAGGUGGAAUUCGUGGUGUAGCGGUGAAAUGCGUAGAUAUUAGGAGGAACACCAGUGGCGAAGGCGGCUUACUGGACUGUAACUGACGUUGAGGCUCGAAAGCGUGGGGAGCAAACAGGAUUAGAUACCCUUGUAGUC